GGGCUCGUGGCCUAGUCUGGCAAGGCGGCUGACUCCAGAGGCCCGUGCCUGGGACGAGACUCCAGCUGAUAUACUGAGCGGUCGGCUGAUCACCGCCGCACUGAUGACCCUCUGGAGUUCCGAGGCACACCGGAGAUAUCAGCCAAUCGGGGGUUCAAAUCCCUCCGAGCCCA
rnacentral:tRNA from 1 species